UACGGAGGGUGCAAGCGUUAUCCGGAUUUACUGGGUUUAAAGGGUGCGUAGGUGGGUAGGAAAGUCAGUGGUGAAAUCUUCGGGCUUAACCCGGAAACUGCCAUUGAUACUAUUUAUCUUGAAUACUUUGGAGGUAAGCGGAAUUCCCGGUGUAGUGGUGAAAUGCGUAGAUAUCGGGAGGAACACCAGUGGCGAAAGCGGCUACCUGGCCCAUUCUUGACGCUGAGGCGCGAAAGCUAGGGUAGCAAACGGG
rnacentral:rRNA from 1 species